rnacentral:rRNA from 1 species
GACAGAGGCCUCGAGCGUUAGGCGGAAUCACUGGGCUUAAAGCGCGUGUAGGCGGAUCGUUAAGUGCCUUGUGAAAUCCUGCGGCUCAACCGCAGAACCGCUGGGCAUACUGGCGGUCUUGGGCCACUCAGGGGUCACUGGAACAAGCGGUGGAGCGGUGAAAUGCGUAGAUAUCGCUUGGAACGCCAAAGGUGAAGACAGGUGACUGGGGGUGUGCCGACGCUGAGACGCGAAAGCCAGGGGAGGCAAACGGG